AGCCGUUAUCCCGCUAUUUUCGUCGGCAUGUUCUUGAAGUUCAGCUCUCCUCCUCUUACAGAUCAAAAAGCAAACCGCGAUCUAGCUUCUGGCAUCCUUCCCCGCUGAAUAGAUCUCAGAUUCCUUCUUCGAUGUUCCGGACCUCUAGGUAAAAUAAGAGUUGAAGUUCUCAAGGAGUCUGAACGUACGAGUAUAGACUUUGUUUAACUGUAAUAUUGGGGCUGGAAUAAAUGGGUGAAAAUAAGAAGAAAGGCAAGAAGAA